UUUUAAUUCUUUAUUUUUUUAUUUAUUUUUUUUUUUUUAGUUAAAUUUUUUUUUUUUAAUUCAUCAUUCAUUUUAUUACUAUUUUUUUUUAUAAAAGUUAAUGCAAUGUAUAGCAACAUUAAAGUCAUUUCAAAUAAGGCGCACGUAAACAAAAAAAUUUCAAUUUUAUGUUUACUCUUAUUUAAUAUUUUGCUGAAAAACAAAAUAAAAUUGUUAAAUAUUUUAAAUUUUGUUUCUGGUGAUUCUUGGCAAAACACACAUUGCCUUGAAAAGUGUUAAAAGUAAGGUAGUUAGCGUAACCGGCUAGUGUUUGUAGGUGGUGAGUGGGGCAUAUUGAAUAUUAGCGUAUAGAAUUUAAAUAAAAUGCCUUAUUUUAUUGCAAGAAAGUGUAAGCUCGUGGUACACAAAUAUACAUAACAUACAUACAUUUAAAUAUACUUACAAUACAAUGUACUUAUUAACAUUUAAAGCAGAACUGUACAUACAUACAUAUAGUGUAUAAAAAUAGACGAAAUAUGUGUGUGUGAAAAAAUUGCACAGCAACCAGAAAAAAUUAUUAAAUAUACUAAAAAAUGAUGAAAAGGUUUAUCAGUGCAUCAAAAUUCUGCAAAAUAAUUAUGUACAUAAGUGGCAAGUGGAAAUGUGCAAUUUUGCUGUUUAGCUGAAAUUUAUAUUAAAUUCCUUUUGUUAAAAAAAAUAUAUAUAUAUGUAACUACUAUUAAAUUAGUAUACGCCUAAAACAAAAAGUAAACGUUUACCUACAUGCAUAUAUACAUACAUAUAUUCUAAUAUAUUUAGUACAAUUUGUUGAGCAUAGAAAAAAAGAAACGAAAAACAAAAAUAAAACGUAAAAAUUAAAUAAAACUAUUAAUAUUGUAAACUACAAAACUAUUAACGACAAAAAACGAGGCACAACUUUCAUAUAAAAUAUAUACUUAUACAUAUAUACAUAAAUGCAUGCAUACAUUUAAAAACAAGAAAAAUAAGAACUGUAUAUUUAAGUGAAAACAUAGAAACUUUUAAUGCCAAGAGAAUGUAAUUUAAAUAAAUGAAAAAUUUACGAUA